rnacentral:misc_RNA from 1 species
GAUGAAGAACGUAGUGAAAUGCGAUACUUGGUGUGAAUUGCAGAAUCCCGUGAACCAUCGAGUCUUUGAACGCAAGUUGCGCCCGAAGCCAUUAGGCCGAGGGCACGCCUGCCUGGGCGUCACACGUCGUUGCCCCCCCAUCUACUCCUUCGGGAUUGCGGGGGGCGGAUGAUGGCCUCCCGUGCGCCUCGUCGCGCGGUUGGCAUAAAUGCCAAGUCCUCGGCGACGCACGCCACGACAAUCGGUGGUUGCGAAACCUCGGUUGCCCGUCGUGUGCGGUCGUCGCGCAUCGAGGGCUCGAAAAAAUUGUCGGGCUCCGGCUCGGCUUUCAACGCGACCCCAGGUCAGGCGGGGUUACCCGCUGAAUUUAAGCAUAUCAAUAAGCGGAGG